UAGCCCCUGCUCUCCACAACUAGAGAAAGCCCGUGUGCAGCAACGAGGACCUAAUGCAGCCAAAAAUAAAUAAAUUUAUUAUUUUUUUUAAAAAAGUGUGGGGGCCCACCUGAGUGCAGGAGGCGGGAGCAGCUCUCCUCUGGAGGAAGACGGGGCCCCACCCUCCGUCCUGGGGGCAGGGAGCAUCUCCCUACCAUUGGCGAGGGACUGUUGACAAAUGCUGUUGACCAAGCAUUUGGUGUGUUCCUGGCCGGAUGAAACUGUUCAGCCGCCUUCAGCCUUCCCCGAGUGCUGCCCUGGCGCUUUUCCUGACCGCCCUGCUGCUUCUGCAGAGCAGCUGGAGUUGUCUUGGUAUCCUGAGGCCACUUCCUUCCUGCUGCAUCCAGCCUUGUAAUCCUCACAGUGGCCCCAUGAGAACAGAUGGGGAAACUGAGGCUCAGAGAGGUGAGGUCACAUGCCCAAGGCCCCACACCUAGACAGUGGCGGAGCCAGGACUCGCCUCAAGGUCUGUCGUUCUCCGCCACCAGGCUCUGUGCCUCUGCCACUGAGCAGCCCGUGUGGCCUUGGACAGGUGCUGCUCCUCCAGCCCCCUGCCUCCCAGCCCACGCUACGGAGGCGUGGUUAGACACUGGGGAGUCCAGGAUGUGGGCCCAGAGGUCUUAUCUGA